AUCAUCUAAUUAGAUGGAGAGAGCUCGAGUCCCGUCACCGCCUUCCCUUCUUCCCCACCCUUUAUAACGACAAGAUGAGCGAGUUCUUCUUGCCUGCGGCUUCCUGCGGCUUCUGCUGCUGUCGUGACGAUCCUCUCUCUUUCUAUUUCUUUUGCGAUGUGACUAUUGACAGGAUUCAGAUCUGACAAGGGAGGCUUUGGGGUGGAAUUCCUUGUGUGGAGGGGAAACAAAAGGGAAAGAAAGAUCGAGAUUUUAGGUCAAGAAAUGAGACUUAAGGAGAAUGAGAAAACGGAUGGUUGACAGAAGAGAGUGAGCACAGGGCGGAGGACAAUGGUAUGAUACGAUGCUGUUUCCGUUGCGUGCUCACUUCUCUUCCUGUCAACCUUUAUUAUCAUCAUGAGCUCCACCCUCCGUCGCCUCUUAGCGAUGAAAGGGAAAAAGAUACAAAAGAUGAGAUCUUUAUCUCGAGCGUUUUGUUUUACAUUUAUUCAUUAUUAUUAUUAGGUUUGCUGCAGCUGUUCGUCUCUCGUUUCUUCCUUCUCUUUCUGUUUGUGCGUGUCAGAUGUUGCGUGAGCGUACAACGCAGCGGAUGAUUUCCAAGGCCGGUUGCGAAGUAAUUGCUUGUACAUACGUUUCUCAGUCGAACUGUAUCUUUCUUGCACCGCGUCUGGAGAAAUUAUUGCUUUCUGUGGUUUCUUGUGAGGGUUGGGGGAAAGUUUGGGGAGCAGAACAAGCUGUAUCAGUUGAGCUUUGAAAGCAAGAGCGCGACUUUUGAGGUGCGGGAGGCGACCGUCCGUCUGUUCCCUCGUCGAGAAUCGGACCAGAUUUGGGUCGGAUAGAGGAGGCGAGCACGGCGGGUACAUGCAUUUCCUGCGCACUGUGCGGGACUAACGAAACCACUGUUUGACUGGUCCUUUCUCUUCUCUCUCUGCGACUUUCUGGAAACAUUUUCUCUCCUCUUUGUGUAGGUAAGGAUUUGCUCUAGCCGUCUCGAUGGAGGCCGCUGAUGCAAGAAACGGCAGCGUCGCCCCUCGUAGUUCCUAGGGGAAAAAUCGAAUUUUGCCGACAGAUUCAAGUUUCUCCUUUCUGUUUCCUAUCUCCCAUUGUAGUCGUUGUUCACAAGAUCUUGCUUUCUGGCUUGUUUUAGACUGUAGGGGAAAAAAGAAGGAUUGUUCAUCUGUUGACGGCAACCCUUUUGCUAUAGCUGUCUUUUUGUUCUUAUGUUGGACUUUUCGCUCUUGGUGACCUUCACAAUUCUUGUGCUGAGUCUUUGCCUUUCCCUGUACUCCACCUUUAGAUGUACUGGGUGUGGAGGUUGCAGGAACCAAUACGGAGGAAGGAGAGAUCUCACUUGCCUUCCCAGAUCUUACCUAGUCUGAGGUUUCCAUAUUUGGGGCGGUAUUAAAGUCUCAGUACAUUGUUUCAUGUCGGACGUCUCGUGGCUUUUUCUCUAGUGGUGUAAGAUCUGUUCUCUUUUGACUGUAUAAGUCAUGUAGUCAUAAUAUCUUGAUCCGUGGACAUCUCUUUAGCUGCCAUCACUUCUUUUUCCCUUCCUCGUUCCUUUGUUUCUUUUGUCGGAUGUCACUGUGAAAAACCGAAGGCUUGCAAGAACGAUGAUUUCUUUUAGUUUGUUCUUCUGUUUCUAGGUGGAGUGAAUUGGAUCACUGGAAGGAGGCGGUUCCUUGAAGAACUUCUUUAUGCUCUCAAGAUUGCUCUUGGAAUUAGAUCGAUUCAAUGUUGAAUGUCUUGAAGAGGAGGCAUGGCACUUAGAAGUUCUUCAGAGCAGACUGGAAGCAAUAACAUUGAUGCUUGAAAAUUCCUCCAAAAAGAUAAGAUUGCUGUGAAGCUCAAGUGAAUCAUCAGGAUUCUGUCCUCACUGGACUAGAUGAUAUAGCAUGAUGACAGCAGAUGCAUAUCACAUCGGAUGUCUAAUGUUCUGCACUUAUGUUCUGUAUUUUAAGGGGAAGCAUCGGCAGGUGGUGCCUGUGCAAGGAAGCCUAGCGUCAAAGUAUGUGUGCCUUUCAUCUUUUUCAGAGACCAAACAAGAGUAUCAAAAGAAGUACUCAUUUUGGAUGCACAACUCCCGCAGUGGUCUAAAUGCUUUCAGGUGGGAAGUAUGAAUCUCUAGUUUGCUGCAACCAGUUGAUUGAUGCUGAGCUAAAAAUACGUCUUUGAAUACUGAUUCUACUCUGUGGGAUUAAGGAUUAGAAGAACAGGUGUGUUGAAGCGUUGGAAUUGUCCUCCCACCAAACCCGCUCAACUCCGGUCACGGUGGCUUUUGUAUGCCAUUGAGGUUUGUUUAUUGCUUUAUACAAGUAAAAUUGACAGUCUUCCUCACUCGAAGAAUGCCUGUGGUUCUGCCCUGACUGAAUAAAACUGAGUUGGUAAUGAUAGUAGCAGUAGCAAUGUUCCCAAAGAAUAGAAUUCCUUUGAACAGUAUGUAUUAUGUUCAAGCAGGCUGCUAUUCGUCUAAUAAAUUGUAACAUCAAUAGCCACAGGGAAUUGAAAAGAUUUCAUUGUC